GAUGAACGCUGGCGGCGUGCCUAAUACAUGCAAGUCGAGCGAACAGACGAGGAGCUUGCUCCUCUGAUGUUAGCGGCGGACGGGUGAGUAACACGUGGAUAACCUACCUAUAAGACUGGGAUAACUUCGGGAAACCGGAGCUAAUACCGGAUAACAUGUUGAACCGCAUGGUUCAACAGUGAAAGACGGUCUUGCUGUCACUUAUAGAUGGAUCCGCGCCGCAUUAGCUAGUUGGUAAGGUAACGGCUUACCAAGGCAACGAUGCGUAGCCGACCUGAGAGGGUGAUCGGCCACACUGGAACUGAGACACGGUCCAGACUCCUACGGGAGGCAGCAGUAGGGAAUCUUCCGCAAUGGGCGAAAGCCUGACGGAGCAACGCCGCGUGAGUGAAGAAGGUCUUCGGAUCGUAAAACUCUGUUAUUAGGGAAGAACAAAUGUGUAAGUAACUAUGCACGUCCUGACGGUACCUAAUCAGAAAGCCACGGCUAACUACGUG
rnacentral:rRNA from 1 species